GAGCGGUAGAGAGAAGCUUGCUUCUCUUGAGAGCGGCGGACGGGUGAGUAAUGCCUAGGAAUCUGCCUGGUAGUGGGGGAUAACGUUCGGAAACGGACGCUAAUACCGCAUACGUCCUACGGGAGAAAGCAGGGGACCUUCGGGCCUUGCGCUAUCAGAUGAGCCUAGGUCGGAUUAGCUAGUUGGUGGGGUAAUGGCUCACCAAGGCGACGAUCCGUAACUGGUCUGAGAGGAUGAUCAGUCACACUGGAACUGAGACACGGUCCAGACUCCUACGGGAGGCAGCAGUGGGGAAUAUUGGACAAUGGGCGAAAGCCUGAUCCAGCCAUGCCGCGUGUGUGAAGAAGGUCUUCGGAUUGUAAAGCACUUUAAGUUGGGAGGAAGGGCAGUUACCUAAUACGUGAUUGUUUUGACGUUACCGACAGAAUAAGCACCGGCUAACUCUGUGCCAGCAGCCGCGGUAAUACAGAGGGUGCAAGCGUUAAUCGGAAUUACUGGGCGUAAAGCGCGCGUAAGUGGUUUGUUAAGUUGGAUGUGAAAUCCCCGGGCUCAACCUGGGAACUGCAUUCCAAACUGACUGAAUACAGUAUGGU
rnacentral:rRNA from 1 species